UUUGUACUCCCUCCGUCCAACAAAAGAUGUCUCAAGUUUGUCAAAAUUUGGAUAUAUCUAGACAUGACUUAGUGUAUAGAUGCAUUCAAAUUUAGUCAAAGUUGAGACAUACUUUUUAGGACGGAGGGAGUACUUU
rfam:Brachypodium distachyon strain Bd21 chromosome 3, whole genome shotgun sequence.